CCUACGGGGGGCAGCCGUGGUUCAUCUUUCACACUUUUUUUCCCCCUUAUUCAGCAAUGCCGCGUGAAGGAUGAAGGUUUUCGGAUUGUAAACUUCUUUUGUACGGGACGAAGAAAGUGACGGUACCGUAAGAAUAAGCCACGGCUAACUACGUGCCAGCAGCCGCGGUAAUACGUAGGUGGCAAGCGUUAUCCGGAUUUACUGGGUGUAAAGGGCGAGUAGGCGGGAUUGCAAGUCAGAUGUGAAAACUAUGGGCUCAACCGAUAGAGUGCAUUUGAAACUGCAGUUCUUGAGUGAUGGAGAGG
rnacentral:rRNA from 1 species